rnacentral:rRNA from 1 species
GGAGGAAUAUUGGGUCAAUGGGCGAGAGCCUGAACCAGCCAAGUAGCGUGCAGGAAGACGGCCCUAUGGGUUGUAAACUGCUUUUAUAGGGGAAUAAAGUGAGCCACGUGUGGUUUUUUGCAUGUACCCUAUGAAUAAGGACCGGCUAAUUCCGUGCCAGCAGCCGCGGUAAUACGGAAGGUCCGGGCGUUAUCCGGAUUUAUUGGGUUUAAAGGGAGCGUAGGCCGGAGAUUAAGCGUGUUGUGAAAUGUAGACGCUCAACGUCUGCACUGCAGCGCGAACUGGUUUCCUUGAGUACGCAUAAAGUGGGCGGAAUUCGUGGUGUAGCGGUGA